AGUUUGAUCCUGGCUCAGAGUGAACGCUGGCGGCAGGCCUAAUACAUGCAAGUCGAACGGCAGCACAGCAGAGCUUGCUCUGUGGGUGGCGAGUGGCGGACGGGUGAGGAAUACGUGGGAAUCUGCCCAGUCGUGGGGAUAACGUAGGGAAACUUACGCUAAUACCGCAUGCGCCCUUCGGGGAAAGCCGGGGACCUUCGGGCCUGGCGCGAUUGGAUGAGCCCACGUCGGAUUAGCUAGUUGGCGGGGUAAAGGCCCACCAAGGCGACGAUCCGUAGCUGGUCUGAGAGGAUGAUCAGCCACACUGGAACUGAGACACGGUCCAGACUCCUACGGGAGGCAGCAGUAGGGAAUAUUGGACAAUGGGCGCAAGCCUGAUCCAGCCAUGCCGCGUGAGUGAAGAAGGCCCUCGGGUUGUAAAGCUCUUUUGUCCGGAAAGAAAAGCGCCGGGUUAAUACCCUGGUGUCCUGACGGUACCGGAAGAAUAAGCACCGGCUAACUUCGUG
rnacentral:rRNA from 1 species